UGGCGUGCCUAAUACAUGCAAGUCGAGCGAACAGACGAGGAGCUUGCUCCUCUGACGUUAGCGGCGGACGGGUGAGUAACACGUGGAUAACCUACCUAUAAGACUGGGAUAACUUCGGGAAACCGGAGCUAAUACCGGAUAAUAUAUUGAACCGCAUGGUUCAAUAGUGAAAGACGGUUUUGCUGUCACUUAUAGAUGGAUCCGCGCCGCAUUAGCUAGUUGGUAAGGUAACGGCUUACCAAGGCAACGAUGCGUAGCCGACCUGAGAGGGUGAUCGGCCACACUGGAACUGAGACACGGUCCAGACUCCUACGGGAGGCAGCAGUAGGGAAUCUUCCGCAAUGGGCGAAAGCCUGACGGAGCAACGCCGCGUGAGUGAUGAAGGUCUUCGGAUUGUAAAACUCUGUUAUUAGGGAAGAACAAAUGUGUAAGUAACUAUGCACGUCUUGACGGUACCUAAUCAGAAAGCCACGGCUAACUACGUGCCAGCAGCCGCGGUAAUACGUAGGUGGCAAGCGUUAUCCGGAAUUAUUGGGCGUAAAGCGCGCGUAGGCGGUUUUUUAAGUCUGAUGUGAAAGCCCACGGCUCAACCGUGGAGGGUCAUUGGAAACUGGAAAACUUGAGUGCAGAAGAGGAAAGUGGAAUUCCAUGUGUAGCGGUGAAAUGCGCAGAGAUAUGGAGGAACACCAGUGGCGAAGGCGACUUUCUGGUCUGUAACUGACGCUGAUGUGCGAAAGCGUGGGGAUCAAACAGGAUUAGAUACCCUGGUAGUCCCACGCCGUAAACGAUGA
rnacentral:rRNA from 1 species